GCCGGGGUUUCUUUACCAGGUACUGUCAUUAUCAUCCCUGGCGAAAGAGCUUUACGACCCUAAGGCCUUCGUCACUCACGCGGCAUGGCUAGAUCAGGCUUUCGCCCAUUGUCUAAGAUUCCCC
rnacentral:rRNA from 1 species